rnacentral:snRNA from 1 species
GUGCUCGCUUCAGCAGCAUAUAUACUAAAAUUUGGAAUGAUACAGAGAAGAUUAGCAUGGUCUCUGUGCAA